CCUUUGAUAGCUCAGUUGGUAGAGCGGAGGACUGUAGAUCCUUAGGUUGUUGGUUCGAUUCCGGCUCGAAGGA